AUUCAUUGUAUAGACUUCAUAUUCACACCUUCACAAAAAAAAUUCGGUAAGAGGUGAGACUAGGAGAGUACGACAGAACAGUAAAAGAUGAAGGUGAAAAAGACGUGAGCGUUGAGAAAUACCAUUUUCACUCCCGUUACCAAAGUACAACAACCGGCUAUGAUAUUGCUAUUAUUCUGUUGAAAGAUCCAGUUGAUUUUAUAUACAAAAUAAAACCCGUACGCAUGAACAAAAAUAUUGAUUUUACUGGUCCGCUGGUCUGUCGAAAUGAUGACUGGUAUCUUACAGGUAUCACAAGUAAGGGACCACACGUAUGCGGAACCAAGUACGCUGUCUUCACGAAUGUAGCCUAUUUUCAUAACUGGAUCCUCGAAGUUAUUCAACAUCUUUAAUUUGAGAAACUUUAGGUAUUCAUAGAUUUACACUUUAAGUAACGACAGAUAUAAUGCUGUACUCAAAUGUAAAUUGAAGAAAUGUUAAAGCAAACAACAAUAAUAAUGGUAUAUUUCGUGUA